AAAAAUAGUUUUCCUUUUGUAAUCUUUAUGUUUGUGAUGUUUUAUACUUAAAAUAAUGGCUAUACCAUUUGAGAUGCUAUUGCAUCCGGAGUUUUUAAAUAAUCAACAACUUAUUCAUAUAAUACUGCAGCGGCAACUGCGGAUUCCUAACAUUGAAAAUAUGCAAAGAGACGAGCUUUUAGAUUUAUUCCACAACUAUUGUGUGCCUUAUGGGCAAAGGAAAUACAGAGAUUCAGGCAGAGGAAAAAUAUUAAACAAAGCCCGGCCGAUGAGUCCGGAGCCGGUGAAAAAUAUUAUUCUAAUGAAUAACAAUCAACACAAAAAAAUGGCUCGAAUGAAUACGGACAGGUUAAAACCGUGUCCUGAAGUCCUAGCAGGCCAUGGGAAAAGGAUUAAACUAGAGCACAAAGUAUCCUUCCCAGACCCAAUUGAUAUUGACAACAAUAACAAAAGGAAAAUAUGUUUAGAGUCGACACCAGCUACAGACAGCCCUCCACCUAAGAAAGAACGGAAGCCAAUUACAUGGCCAUAAACAUGGACACAAAACAGAGAAAACAUCACUUCUUUUUAUGUUUAUAUGUACUAAUGAUACUGUAAGGUAACAAACUCAAAUAUGACCAACACUUAGAGGAUAUUUCACUAUGGUUUGGAUUAUUUGGCUUAGCUAUAUGCGAAUUUCAUGUUUCCAAUACCAAAUUAUAGUAUCAGUGGGUCAUUAUAGUAUUCAGUCUUACUUAUAAAAAAUAUGCUAAGCUAUGUUUAGUUAAAACACAAAUUUACUUGAUCAGCUGUAAGUCAAAACCUGUUAUCUUGCCUCUUAAUAAGGUUUAAACUAGGAACUGGUGAUGUUUCUGAUAGCUAUUUAAGCCAUACCUAACCACCUGUUAACGGUAAAACAAGUUAAUAAGUAAGACUGAUUAUGUUUAAUAUCAUCUUAAUGUGAACGGUUAACUGCACUAUGAUUUGAUUUGAUGUAGAUUAUAAAUGGUACAAAAAAUUUUUAGGAAAAUCAUAGAAUGUGCAUAAUGUGUCAUACAAGGAAAGUUAAUUUUAAAAUAAAACACAGACUAAAUUAAAUUUAUAACAAUUUGUAGCAUGUAUUCCUAGAACCAAUGAAUAGCGAAAGCUCUUUUAAAUAUAAUUAAUAUUGCAUUUAUUCACACCCUUAUUCCCAAAGGUGUCAUUAGCUUCGUUUUGUCUCAUAAUGGGCCUUUGUUAUAUGGAGUAGAAAUUUCAUGUUCAAUUAAAUUCAAAACACAAUAUAUAAUACGAAAAUGUUUUAAAAAUGUAAGUUUGUUAGUAAAAGAGAUGCUAUCAUCCUAUUAUUUAUAUCCUUCAUAAAUGAUAUAUUGUGUCACAAUGUUCUUUCAUACCUUUUUUACAAUAAUUACACUUAACUGUAAAAAAACAUCUAUAAAUGUAUUGGGUGUACAAUUAAUUACUGUAUUAGAAAAAUCUCAUGGCAGCUCUAGUAUUUGUUAGCAACCACAGUGUUGUCUUGUUAGUGAAUUUUUAAUACUCAUGAUACAAGGGGAAUGUAAAUAGGAGUAUUUAAGUAAAAUAGCCUAGAUAAAGAAAGGCUUAGGCCAAUUUGCCUACAAUUGUUUUUAUUUUUAUCAUAUGAAACGAUAAUAAAGGUAAUGUGACUGCCAUAGACUGUUGAUUUCAAUAAACAUGUCAAUGGCUUUAUUAAAUUCAUCAUAAAAAUUAACCAAUCAGAACAAAAUUUAUUUGACAUGCUUACAAGUGACGAAUUUUGAUUGGUUUAUGCUCGGUAUUGGGUUGAAGCUUAAAAUUGAUUGUUUAUUAACAAUGGUGAUAAUAGUUAAGACGUGCGCCAAAGGACCUUGCAACAUUAUGACGUAAUUUACGUUGGCGAUCUUCAGUUGCUUAGCGUCAGUUACAAGAUUAAAAAACGUCGCGUAUUUCGGGUUUGAAAUAAGAAUAUUAUUGACCUUCAUAAUUUUGAUAGUAUCUCUAGUGACAAGGUCUAUUUGGGGAAUUUUGACCAUUCGUGUCUGAUUGAUAGGUGUAUGUUUUGUCAUCCAAAUAUGUAGAAAUAAGGAACUUGUAAAUAUCUUCAAUAGGUAUUCUAAAUGUGCUGUCGUGAAGAUCAUUUGGUAGAAUUUUUUAAAAAUAAGGAUUCAAUGUUAUAUUGUAUGGGAUAGUAACCUCACUAAAUCAUGGAUGCACUUAUUUAAUAAUUGCAUACAAAUUAAGUAAUGAUUUGUUGGUUUAAGCUUAGUCCUCUUAUAUGGCGCUUUGGUAAUAAAUAAGACUUAGAUCAGUGUUCUAUAAGUGUAUUACCCUUGGACAGAAACUUUUUAGAAUAUAGAGAUGAAAAUAACGUGGCGUAGUUAUACUGCAUGCGCGGUACGACAGCGCCCUGAGGUCCUGGGUUCGAAUCCAAGGUCGGGCAAAGUGAUAUUUGGGAUUUCCUGGUCAGUAUUAGCCCGGAGUCUGGAAUUUGUGCUCGAUAUGGCUAUAGGCUCGCCCCCUAUCACACUAUGGGACAGAACACACUUGGCAAAAAGUGGGUGCCUUGGUUGUGCCUCUGCAUACCCCUUCGGGGAUAAAUGCGUGAAGUUGUGUAUGUGUGUGUGAGUUGAAAAUAUUGCAGCGAAAUCGCAUUUUCGGAGAUCGUGGAAUUGUUUGAUUUUUAAAGGUGAGUCCGUAAUAGUGGAUGACCAGUGGUAUGUAUUGCAUGCAUCUUUGAAAACAAUCUGAUAUAUUUUAGCCUCUGCCUGUACAAAUCCCAACAAGAUUUAACAGGUUCAUUUGCGUACAGAAUUAUUUUAAACCUUAGUACAAGUACUUUUUUUUAUCUGCAAUCUUACUAUAUUGAGACAAAAGAUUCGUAAUUUAUAUUUAUCAUUUUAUGCUGAUGUAUAUAAAACUUUUCAGAACUUAAAAUAUCAGUGUUUUAUUCACACAUAUUAUGUAUCGAAAAUAAUUCUUAAAAUGAUAUUAUACUUAAUAAAUAAAAUGAUAUUAUACUUAAUAAAAUGGUUUUGUAAAAAAAAUGUGAUAAGUUGUAGGAACUAAUAUUUUUUUGCGCUUUAAAUAAAGGGUGCAUUAUUGUACAUAAAAUAAUUUAAGUUUGUAAAUAUAUUGUUAAGAUAUUGAUUAUAUAGGGUGUUUAAUUUUUCGGGUAUAUAGUAGUAGCUUGUGAAAAAAUUGGUGUGGUGCGGAUUUUCCAACAUAACAAUAUUACCGUUACUACCGUUCGUAUAUUUUUUGCAUUGUGCGCUCUACCAUACGAUUUCAUACGGAUUGAUUUUGCGAAAAUUUACCACAGAGUUUUUUCCGCAUAUCCUCACUGUAAUUGUAGACUUGUAUGUUUCGAGAAUCAUUGUUGGAAUUAAAUAGAAAUUGGAUUAUAGUUUGCGCUUUGAAAACGUCUUACGUGUUAUUCAUUACCUUAUGGACAAAUUUUUCAAACGUCAGAUUAACGUUAUCAUUAAAUAAGUUGUAACCUGACUAUACAUAAAAGUAAAACAAAUUGACAACUUUGAUACACACAACUGUCAUUUUAAUUUCGUUUGUGUUGCACUUUUUCCAGUGAAUAAAUUUUAUCUGAUCAUUGAAAAAUUCGGUCUUAGACAAUCAAUGUUUGUAGUAUUUAUUUUUCUAAAAGUUACCGCGCACUGCGAAUUACACUUGGUAUAUUUGGAAUGAUGAAAAUGUAUUGGACUACUUUUCCGCAGUGUGCGCUAACUAGGUGUAUGAAUUCAGGUCUAACAAAGUGUCAUUUAAGUAAUGAUUUGUUGGUUUAAGCUUAGUCCUCUUUUCUGGAGCAUUGGUAAUAAAUAAGACUUAGAUCAGUGUUCUAUAAGUGUACUACCCUUGGACAGAAACUUUUUAGAAUAUAGAGAUGAAAAUAACGUGGCGUAGUUGUACUGCAUGCGCGGUAAGGCAGCGCUUUGAGGUCCAGGGUUCGAAUCCCGGGGCGGGCAAAGUGAUAUUAGGGGUUUUCCGCUCAGUAUCAGCCCGGAGACCUGAAUUUGUGCCCGAUAUGGCUAUCACAUCAUGGGAUGGAACACACUUGCGAAAAGUGGGUGCCCUGAUUACGUCUCUGCAUACCCGUUCGGAGAUAAAUGCAUGAUGUUGUGUUUUAAUAAAUGUGGCAAAUAGGAUUUUUUCCACAUUUUUUAACAGUGACGGAUCUCAAGUAACAUGUCAGGCAUUAUACUUAACUAAAGACUGCAUUUAUAAAUGGUCCUCUCACUGUUAAUGCAUAGUAGAAACUGGCAGUGCAGCAAUAUUUUAUAUGCUGUCUUGUCAAUGGAAUAAGAACUUUAAAGUUCCUUGCUUAUGAUUUAAAAUAUUUUUUUUUAUGAAACUACUCUGCCGUAAUGUUGGAUCUGAGCAUCAUGUUUAAGUUCCUAAUUUUCUAAGAGGUUGUAUGAUGUGACAGUAGUUGAUUCCCUCGAGUGUGUGAAUUACUUGACAUUGUCGUUUCGCGAGAAAUAAUCGGUUUGUGCUUCAUAUAAACAACCUAGUUCCCUAAUUAGGGUAUCGAGAUGUUUGGUCCUUCGAGCCUAGACAUAUUUGUGACAUUUUGGACUGCUCGUUCCACUUCUCUAAGUAAAUAAAGUGUAUGGCCACAUCAUUUGAAUUGACGUAAAUAAUAGUGUAAAUGGUACUGCCAAUUAUUUUAGCAAUAAAAUCACUGAUUUGCUUGGUUUUAAAUCUGUUCAUAAAUAUGUUUUAUAUUAGUAGUGUUUGCAAUGAAAUAAAUGUGAAUUAUCUGAUA